rnacentral:rRNA from 1 species
AGAGCGAACGCUGGCGGCAGGCUUAACACAUGCAAGUCGAGCGGGCGUAGCAAUACGUCAGCGGCAGACGGGUGAGUAACGCGUGGGAACGUACCUUUUGGUUCGGAACAACACAGGGAAACUUGUGCUAAUACCGGAUAAGCCCUUACGGGGAAAGAUUUAUCGCCGAAAGAUCGGCCCGCGUCUGAUUAGCUAGUUGGUGAGGUAACGGCUCACCAAGGCGACGAUCAGUAGCUGGUCUGAGAGGAUGAUCAGCCACAUUGGGACUGAGACACGGCCCAAACUCCUACGGGAGGCAGCAGUGGGGAAUAUUGGACAAUGGGCGCAAGCCUGAUCCAGCCAUGCCGCGUGAGUGAUGAAGGCCCUAGGGUUGUAAAGCUCUUUUGUGCGGGAAGAUAAUGACGGUACCGCAAGAAUAAGCCCCGGCUAACGUUCGCGCCAGCAGCCGC